GAUGAACGCUGGCGGCGUGCUUAACACAUGCAAGUCGAACGAAGCACCUUGAUUUGAUUCUUCGGAUGAAGAUCUUGGUGCCUGAGUGGCGGACGGGUGAGUAACGCGUGGGUAACCUGCCUCAUACAGGGGGAUAACAGUUAGAAAUGACUGCUAAUACCGCAUAAGACCACAGCACCGCAUGGUGCAGGGGUAAAAACUCCGGUGGUAUGAGAUGGACCCGCGUCUGAUUAGGUAGUUGGUGGGGUAACGGCCUACCAAGCCGACGAUCAGUAGCCGACCUGAGAGGGUGACCGGCCACAUUGGGACUGAGACACGGCCCAAACUCCUACGGGAGGCAGCAGUGGGGAAUAUUGCACAAUGGGGGAAACCCUGAUGCAGCGACGCCGCGUGAGCGAUGAAGUAUUUCGGUAUGUAAAGCUCUAUCAGCAGGGAAGAAAAUGACGGUACCUGACGAAGAAGCACCGGCUAAAUACGUG
rnacentral:rRNA from 1 species